rnacentral:sRNA from 1 species
UACUAUGGUCUUCGCUGAUUUUGGUUUC